CCCGCCGCGGGCGGCGUACCAGGGGCUGGGGUUGCUUAGCGGCCCCUGAGGCUGCUAUGGGAAAAGCAUCGGCGGGUGGCUGAGCCCCGGCCCCUCGCCGGCCCCAGAGCUGAGUUUUGGGGCCCCAGGCAGCGCUGGGCAUGGCUGGGGCCGGCGGCUGGUGCUGCCGGCCUCUCACCGGAACAAGAGCUCAAGGGGCGGCUAGUGCGGGUCCUGGCCCCCGGAGAGCGGGUUGCUCAUAAUUUCAGGUCGGUGAGCGUGACCCGGAUGCUGCUUGGUCACCGUGGGGUUGGUCUUGAAGAAAAGUGCUAGAGCAGGAGAGCAGUCCUGAUGGAAGAGGUUUCACUCUAUGGAUCCCAGUGACACAGAAAAAUAUUUCAUCUGUUCUGUGCUUUGCUUCUGACAAAAACAUUAUUUCAAGUCCCUGAGUGGGCUGGUACGAAGGAAACUGUGCUGGCUCAGAGUUCUUAGUAAUUUCAGCAUAUCAUAGCCAUCCCCAAGGAGUCACUGGAGUUCAGAGACCAAACCCUUUCCAAUCCUGUUGCUCCUUCUUCAAAUAAAGAUAUCUUCAGAAACUCAAACCCACAUCUGGUCUUAUGUUUGCUUUCCUGCAAGUUUCUCUGCUGUUUUCCUUGCUCUUCCUGUUUGCCUAAUCAUCUUCCAUUGAAAAAGGAGAAGAAACCCUUACGAAGUAUUUCCUUGCUCUAAGGCUGGCAUAGCAAUAAUGUUGUAGGUAAUGCAGUCAAUGCUGCUGUUAAUUCUGCUGCCUCAGCUGUUUCUAGCCAGGAAGGAGUCACUCAAGUUUUUCACUAGAGAACAAACCAUGAGAGAAACUAAUCAAAAACAAUUGACCAGAUCUUUGUUAUUUGUGUUUUUUUAAAUAUUGAUAGUGAUGUGUCAUUAGAAAGAAUGGAAAUUUGUACUGUUUUAGCUGGCCCAGCAUGGGUUUACACCCCAAGCUGACGUGAAGGAUCCUGUGGCACAUGUAGGGUAGAUUGCAGCUUGACUUUACAAUUUCUUUUUCUAUAAAGGGGACAAGAAAGAGGAUGUUAGCUGUGACUCUGCAUUGCACCUCUUCACCAUAGCUGUUGUCCAAUGCCUUUACCUGCAGCCUCAGCCACUCACUGUGCUGGCAUGCCCUAAAGCAUUCAGAUAAACUUCUUACCUGUACCACUGUCACUAGGCCAAUCCCCAGACUCUCCUAUUUUCAUCAAAAUCAUUGAUUCAUGUACUCACAGACUCCAUUUGGAAAGUCAGGUUUCAAUUUAAUAAAUGCGAAGCAUUUUAAUGAAAAUAUUGAUGGCAAAUACAAAGAUUUUUGAAAGGGGGAAAGUCUCUUUUGAAGCUUGUGAAAUAAAGCCAUGGAUAUAUUAGCCAGUUCUAAUUAGCUCAUUUUGUAAUUGUAAAGUCUAGAAGCC